rnacentral:tRNA from 1 species
GGCUCGGUGGUGUAGUUGGUUAUCACGUCAGUCUCACAUUGCACACAGUCGUGUGAGUUCACUGAAGGUCCCGAGUUCGAACCUCGGCUGAGUCA